rnacentral:misc_RNA from 1 species
GAUGAAGAACGCAGCGAAAUGCGAUAAGUAGUGUGAAUUGCAGAAUUCAGUGAAUCAUCGAAUCUUUGAACGAACAUUGCGCCCCUUGGUAUUCCAUGGGGCAUGCCUGUUCGAGCGUCAUUUGUACCUUCAAGCUUUGCUUGGUGUUGGGUGUUUGUCUCGCCUUUGCGUGUAGACUCGCCUUAAAAUAAUUGGCAGCCGGCGUAUUGAUUUCGGAGCGCAGUACAUCUCGCGCUUUGCACUCAUAACGACAGCGUCCAAAAGUACAUUUUACACUCUUGACCUCGGAUCAGGUAGGGAUACCCGCUGAACUUAAGCAUAUCAAUAAGCGGAGGA